rnacentral:lncRNA from 1 species
GGUGGACAACUUGAUAUGGGGGGAGGCACAUAGGUUUGCUAAUUCUGUUUCUGGGCUGGCCUAUGAGAUGGAGAUCAAGCAAACUUCAGAAGGUUUCAGGUGCACAUCCUCUUUCCCUUGUGUUUGUCUCCCUAGCUAAUCUGUACCAUUGUACAUAUUGAUAAAUAUAGUUAGUUAUUAUUUUCUGGCUGUUGUGAUAGUCAGAGCACAUAAAUGCUUACUUCAUUUAGUAGCUGACAUCCCAAUUUUUGAAAUUACGCCUGAAGAAAAUGUGUCUCCUUGUUUUGUGCAGGUACCAAAUUAAGUAGGCUUAUGCACAUAAGCUUCUUCAUUGUUUCCCUUCUGGAAACAAAAUUGUUCUCGUAUUAAUUGGUUGGUUCGCAUGCAUGUGCAAUAAUUGUGUGUCGAAGCACCGGUCCUAAUUUUUUAGUGGCGCUCCACAUAAGCAGGAUCUAUACUAAUUGUUCCAUUGACUGCUCUCCGGUGAGUUUUUACUCAUUUCCCUCUGAUGCUUUUGUGUCCACAUGUCUAAUUUGGUCUUCUUUCAAAAUUUCUCAUGGUUUAUGUGGUAGUGUGGUUGGCUGACGGCUUAUAACUUUCUGUAUCCUCUAUCUAUGAUAUUCUGUUAGGCUAGGCACAUUUCUUCCCUUCAUAAUUCAGUGUUGAAUUAAUUAUCUUAGCUACAUGGUGAAUCUCGAUAAUCCCUUUAGGACCAGACCAUAGCAUAUGAUGCAUUAUGUAGAAGUUACAAAUGGUCAAGAAUUUUCUGGAUACGAUACCUGCUUACUCCUAUUCAUAUUAUGUAGAAGUUGCAUAAGGCAGAGAAAGAAUAAGAACAUUUGUCAGUUUUUUCGUGUGCAGGUUCAGCAGCGGGCAAUGCUCAAGACAGAGUUGGGCGCACAUCAUAUAUAUACAUAUGUUGUCAUGUCUUAAUAAAUAGAGAUGAGCAGAAGUAGAGAUGAGAUAUCUAUCCGACUGUCAUCCUUCCAAGACUUGGGUUUGUCAUCUCUGUCAGCGUCCGCUUCCGCUUCCUUCGCUGGUUGUCGUUUCUUUGUACACUGCUGUAGUUUAGAGAUCAAUAUAUAUUUUCCAUGGAUACAAUUGAAUACGACACCCAAUUUGCUAUAUAAUUGUUCAACUCUCUCUCAUAGCGAUUCAUACAAAAUAUCAUGCAUAGUGGUCCUAGCUUAAGUAGAAUAUAACCAUUGGAUUGUUCAAACUUUGCUCGUGUUUCGCAGGGCACCAUAACUCUAGUCCGACAUGAGGAGUGCAACCACGAUAGUGAGCAGUGGAACCGCAAGAUAGAGAUAGAUACAAGUAGAAUAUAACUGGUCAUAUUUCUAAAAUGAUCACACUACUUAUAGUGCCGGAAGAGAAGGCAUCAGUGAUAGUGGGCUUGGUGAUGAGGGCAUCAAUACGAAGAGAUUAAUUCACAACUUUGUUCUUGAUAGGUUGUACAAAUAUACAAGGUACUACUGUUUCCUUUUAUGUUUAAAUAGCUUUGUGAGUACAAUUAUAUGAAAAUUCUGCGAUUCAUGGUGCGGAAGCGGGCAUCUUUGUUUUCCUGACCAAAAAUACUUAGUUUCAUGCCUCCAUGGUAUAAUUUAGAGGCACAGUCCAAUGAGAGAUUCCUACUUAGCUAGCUAAUAUAUAACGUUUGACGGUACUGUCUUGUGUUGUAAAUACAAAAUAUGCUACAUGAGCAUUACUUUUAUUUUGAAUUUAAUUUUGUGUUUGAGCCUCUUUUACAUAUUAAGUGUAAUAUCACAGACUUUCUUCUUUCAGGGUUAACUGGCCAUGCAAAAACU